GUGUCAGCAGCCGCGGUAAUACGAAGGGGGCUAGCGUUGUUCGGAAUUACUGGGCGUAAAGGGCGCGUAGGCGGCCCGUUCAGUCAGAUGUGAAAGCCCCGGGCUCAACCUGGGAACAGCAUUUGAUACUGGCGGGCUUGAGUUCCGGAGAGGAUGGUGGAAUUCCCAGUGUAGAGGUGAAAUUCGUAGAUAUUGGGAAGAACACCGGUGGCGAAGGCGGCCAUCUGGACGGACACUGACGCUGAGGCGCGAAAGCGUGGGGAGCAAACAGGAUUAGAUACCCGCGUAGUCC
rnacentral:rRNA from 1 species